AGAGUUUGAUCCUGGCUCAGGAUGAACGCUGGCGGCGUGCUUAACACAUGCAAGUCGAACGAGCCCUUCGGGGUUAGUGGCGGACGGGUGAGUAACGCGUGAGGAUCUGCCUUCAGGUUGGGGACAACCACUGGAAACGGUGGCUAAUACCCAAUGUGCCGAGAGGUGAAAGGCUUGCUGCCUGGAGAUGAACUCGCGUCUGAUUAGCUAGUUGGUGAGGUAAGGGCUCACCAAGGCGACGAUCAGUAGCUGGUCUAAGAGGGUGAUCAGCCACACUGGGACUGAGACACGGCCCAGACUCCUACGGGAGGCAGCAGUGGGGAAUUUUCCGCAAUGGGCGAAAGCCUGACGGAGCAACGCCGCGUGUGGGAGGACGGCCCUAGGGUUGUAAACCUCUUUUGUCAGGGAAGAAGAACUGACGGUACCGA
rnacentral:rRNA from 1 species